UUUACAGUGAACCACGGUGAUUUGGUGGUGGAGACAUGGCAUUCAUGGACUCAGAAGGAAGUAGUGAUGCUGAUUAUCAAUCUUCAUUGGCUUUAACCCAGAAAAUUAUCAGCAUCUCAAGGAUCAUGACCCACAGAAUACUCCCUAAAAGUGACGCUUACAGAAUGUUGUCAAAGACAGAGCUAUGGCAGCUGCUAAUCCAUGCUCCUGCCCACACUUGGACUAAGGUGCUGCUGCUGGUCCAUAGAUCACACAUUGAGAGGCUGAAGAAUAGAGAGCUUCCACUAUUCUCUUCUGAGGCCCUCAAAUUCAUUCCAAUUUCUGGGCCCAGUGGUGAGGAUGAUUAUAAGGUGAAGAGUUGGACAAAUGUGGUCAAGAGCUGCUGUCAGCCCUAUACUCCACCAUGGAGAAUACGCAAGUGA
rnacentral:lncRNA from 1 species